rnacentral:rRNA from 1 species
UACAGAGGGGGCAAGCGUUGUUCGGAAUUACUGGGCGUAAAGGGCGCGUAGGCGGCCUGCUAAGUCGAACGUGAAAUCCCCGGGCUCAACCCGGGAACUGCGUCCGAUACUGGUUGGCUUGAAUCCGGGAGAGGGAUGCGGAAUUCCAGGUGUAGCGGUGAAAUGCGUAGAUAUUGGGAGGAACACCGGUGGCGAAGGCGGCCCCCUGGACCGGUACUGACGCUGAGGCGCGAAAGCGUGGGUAGCAAACGGG